rnacentral:rRNA from 1 species
CCGGUGGAUUAGUGGCGAACGGGUGAGUAACACGUGAGAAAUCUGCCCCUGACUCUGGGAUAACUGCGGGAAACUGUAGCUAAUACCGGAUACUUUCCCUGGUGGGCAUCCACUGGGGAAGAAAGAAUUUCGGUCAGGGAGGAUCUCGCGGCCUAUCAGCUAGUUGGUGAGGUAAAAGCUCACCAAGGCGAUAAUCAAUAGCUGAUUUGAGAGGAUGAUCAGCCACACUGGGACUGAGACACGGCCCAGACUCC